rnacentral:rRNA from 1 species
CACGUAGGGGGCGAGCGUUGUCCGGAUUUAUUGGGCGUAAAGAGCUCGUAGGCGGCUCGGUAAGUCGGGUGUGAAAUUUCGAGGCUCAACCUCGAAACGCCACCCGAUACUGCUGUGGCUAGAGUCCGGUAGGGGAGCGUGGAAUUCCUGGUGUAGCGGUGAAAUGCGCAGAUAUCAGGAAGAACACCAAUGGCGAAGGCAGCUCUCUGGGACGGUACUGACGCUGAGACGCGAAAGCGUGGGGAGCGAACAGG